AGGAGGAACAACCGCAGUGGCGGGGCCAGCUUUGGAGCCCUGGAGUCAGCCCCCGCAGUAGCUAGCUCCAGAGCUCUCCGUCUGCAGGGCCUGGAGGCUCCGGGCGGGG
rnacentral:pre_miRNA from 1 species